AAUCUGGGGCCCUUUUGGCAGAAUGCUAUGCUACUCAUUCCUCACUUUCUUCUCCUCCAUCUGCCCCACUCUCUGUCUCUUAGGAAGACAAGAGCAGCAGGAAGCCCUGAUGGGGAAUGUGGGGAGCACUAGGAAGUGGGAUAGACCCACACCUUGUGGUCUGCAGUUUCCAAACAAUGACACUAUGUCCCCUGACCCAG
rnacentral:lncRNA from 1 species